rnacentral:rRNA from 1 species
GGAAAGGCGCGCGAUACAGGGUGACAGCCCCGUACACAAAAAUGCACAUGCUGUGAGCUCGAUGAGUAGGGCGGGACACGUGGUAUCCUGUCUGAAUAUGGGGGGACCAUCCUCCAAGGCUAAAUACUCCUGACUGACCGAUAGUGAACCAGUACCGUGAGGGAAAGGCGAAAAGAACCCCGGCGAGGGGAGUGAAAAAGAACCUGAAACCGUGUACGUACAAGCAGUGGGAGCACGCUUAGGCGUGUGACUGCGUACCUUUUGUAUAAUGGGUCAGCGACUUAUAUUCUGUAGCAAGGUUAACCGAAUAGGGGAGCCGAAGGGAAACCGAGUCUUAACUGGGCGUUAAGUUGCAGGGUAUAGACCCGAAACCCGGUGAUCUAGCCAUGGGCAGGUUGAAGGUUGGGUAACACUAACUGGAGGACCGAACCGACUAAUGUUGAAAAAUUAGCGGAUGACUUGUGGCUGGGGGUGAAAGGCCAAUCAAACCGGGAGAUAGCUGGUUCUCCCCGAAAGCUAUUUAGGUAGCGCCUCGUGAAUUCAUCUCCGGGGGUAGAGCACUGUUUCGGCAAGGGGGUCAUCCCGACUUACCAACCCGAUGCAAACUGCGAAUACCGGAGAAUGUUAUCACGGGAGACACACGGCGGGUGCUAACGUCCGUCGUGAAGAGGGAAACAACCCAGACCGCCAGCUAAGGUCCCAAAGUCAUGGUUAAGUGGGAAACGAUGUGGGAAGGCCCAGACAGCCAGGAUGUUGGCUUAGAAGCAGCCAUCAUUUAAAGAAAGCGUAAUAGCUCACUGGUCGAGUCGGCCUGCGCGGAAGAUGUAACGGGGCUAAACCAUGCACCGAAGCUGCGGCAGCGACGCUGAUGCGUUGUUGGGUAGGGGAGCGUUCUGUAAGCCUGCGAAGGUGUGCUGUGAGGCAUGCUGGAGGUAUCAGAAGUGCGAAUGCUGACAUAAGUAACGAUAAAGCGGGUGAAAAGCCCGCUCGCCGGAAGACCAAGGGUUCCUGUCCAACGUUAAUCGGGGCAGGGUGAGUCGACCCCUAAGGCGAGGCCGAAAGGCGUAGUCGAUGGGAAACAGGUUAAUAUUCCUGUACUUGGUGUUACUGCGAAGGGGGGACGGAGAAGGCUAUGUUGGCCGGGCGACGGUUGUCCCGGUUUAAGCGUGUAGGCUGGUUUUCCAGGCAAAUCCGGAAAAUCAAGGCUGAGGCGUGAUGACGAGGCACUACGGUGCUGAAGCAACAAAUGCCCUGCUUCCAGGAAAAGCCUCUAAGCAUCAGGUAACAUCAAAUCGUACCCCAAACCGACACAGGUGGUCAGGUAGAGAAUACCAAGGCGCUUGAGAGAACUCGGGUGAAGGAACUAGGCAAAAUGGUGCCGUAACUUCGGGAGAAGGCACGCUGAUAUGUAGGUGAAGUCCCUCGCGGAUGGAGCUGAAAUCAGUCGAAGAUACCAGCUGGCUGCAACUGUUUAUUAAAAACACAGCACUGUGCAAACACGAAAGUGGACGUAUACGGUGUGACGCCUGCCCGGUGCCGGAAGGUUAAUUGAUGGGGUCAGCGCAAGCGAAGCUCUUGAUCGAAGCCCCGGUAAACGGCGGCCGUAACUAUAACGGUCCUAAGGUAGCGAAAUUCCUUGUCGGGUAAGUUCCGACCUGCACGAAUGGCGUAAUGAUGGCCAGGCUGUCUCCACCCGAGACUCAGUGAAAUUGAACUCGCUGUGAAGAUGCAGUGUACCCGCGGCAAGACGGAAAGACCCCGUGAACCUUUACUAUAGCUUGACACUGAACAUUGAGCCUUGAUGUGUAGGAUAGGUGGGAGGCUUUGAAGUGUGGACGCCAGUCUGCAUGGAGCCGACCUUGAAAUACCACCCUUUAAUGUUU